UGUAUAAAUACAUACAUUUUGUAUUUACAUAAUCCAUCUAUAUAUUAAGAAUGCUCAAGGAGACAAGUGCGAGGAGACAAGUGGUGGCUCUCCUUCACCGCAUGCUCCCCACUUCGUCUUCAUCAAAAAAACUUCACAUUAUCUGGAGAAAACAGGACCUUAAUAGAACUAAUAACUUGCUGUUUCGGGAUGUUAACGUGUUGUGUCGAUACGUUCCGUAUGCCGCCUCCUAGACUCAGAGCAUUCUUCUGCAUUCUUCUUCUCAAGUGAAUGGGAGAGCAGGCGGUAGUCGCUAUGCGUUGCAGAAUGCUGGUGCCGUGAAAAGUGGGUGCAACUCUAGCUCUUGCCGUGGUGUUGGAAGCUAAUCCAGUGCACACCUCAGGGGGUAAACCGUCGUAGGCAGAAGCCACACCUGAGGAGGUGAAACACAAGUGGUGCAGCUCCAGCUCUUGCCGAGAUGUCCAGUGCACAUCUCACCCGUAGGCAGAAGCCUUACUUGGGUAAAACACAAUUACGCCUGAGGAGGUAAAAUUUCAAGUCGAGCAAGUUUUUUAGUUUCUAUUUUUAGUUUUUUAGUUUCUAAUUUUGUUCGUGCCUUCCAUUGUAGGUUUUGUCAGAUGAUGAGAAGAGGCCAUUGGAUAUGAUCAGUAUUAAGUUUUGGGCCAUUACUUUAGAGCAAGCAAAUGAAUUCAUUUGCAAUAUUUUUGUGGCAAUCAAUCAAAUGAAUUUAUUUGCAAUAUUUUUAUGACAAUCAAAGUUAACUUUAUGAGAUUUUUUAUA